UGGGUUUUGAGGGUUAAUCAGACUAGCUGCAGGCCCAACCUCUGCCUCAAAUUUGGGGUUGACGAAAAAUGCAAUAGAAAUCCUUUCUUUCUCUGAAUUCACUGCGGCCCUGUGCUCGAUGCUAUGGUAGAGUCCAUUGCUCAAAAUCUCAAGUAUGUCUCCCACAUUUACUACAAGAGAACCUUCGAGGAAGCUCACAGGGAUCCAAACCCCAUCCUUUUUAAUCUGAAGACCAUCCACCCCAUUAAUCUGAUUGAGGAUUGUGAUGCCAGUUGCAUCUGAAUGAGGAAAAAUGCCAAGAACUAGCUCUGGUUGUGGACAUGGAGGA
rnacentral:misc_RNA from 1 species